rnacentral:rRNA from 1 species
UACGUAGGGGGCGAGCGUUGUCCGGAAUUACUGGGCGUAAAGAGCGCGUAGGCGGCAUGAUAAGUUCUGUGUGAAAGUCCCCGGCUCAACUGGGGAGGGUCGCGGAAAACUGUCAGGCUUGAGUGUCGGAGAGGGAAGUGGAAGUCCCGGAGUAGGGGUGAAAUCCGUAGAGACCGGGCCGAACACCAGUGGCGAAGGCGGCUUCCUGGCCGACGACUGACGCUGAGGCGCGAAAGCGUGGGGAGCGAACGGG